rnacentral:piRNA from 1 species
UGCCGGUGAAUAGCUUCCCCUUACA